GAUGAACGCUGGCUACAGGCUUAACACAUGCAAGUCGAGGGGAAACGACGGGGAAGCUUGCUUCCCCGGGCGUCGACCGGCGCACGGGUGAGUAACGCGUAUCCAACCUGCCUCUGACUGAGGGAUAACCCGUCGAAAGUCGGCCUAAUACCUCAUGGCAUCGUCUGCGGGCAUCCAACGACGAUUAAAGAUUUCAUCGGUCAGGGAUGGGGAUGCGUCUGAUUAGCUUGUUGGCGGGGUAACGGCCCACCAAGGCUACGAUCAGUAGGGGUUCUGAGAGGAAGGUCCCCCACAUUGGAACUGAGACACGGUCCAAACUCCUACGGGAGGCAGCAGUGAGGAAGAGUGGUCAAUGGGCGGGAGCCUGAACCAGCCAAGUAGCGUGCAGGAUGACGGCCCUAUGGGUUGUAAACUGCUUUUAUGCGGGGAUAAAGUGAGGGACGUGUCCUUCAUUGCAGGUACCGCAUGAAUAAGGACCGGCUAAUUCCGUG
rnacentral:rRNA from 1 species